rnacentral:lncRNA from 1 species
UUACAUUGAAUGUGAAUGAUUUCAUGAAUGACAGGUGUUGUUGUGGAAUUCUUAAUUCAACUUAACUUUUAGUGUUAAUUUAGCUCAGUGAUCCUUUGAUUCAAUUAUUAAUGAUAGCGUGGGCAUGCAAAAAGUUUAACUCUGGUUUCUUCAGCGACAAGGAAUCCAAAAUGAGGAGAAAAGUGAAACGUCGAAGCAUAGUAUGCUAGCAGAGGACGAACCGUCAUGUAGUCAGAAAGUUAAAUUAACUGUUGUUGGCCUGGAAGGACAUGUGUGGACACUGGAAGUGCCUGUAAAUACAACAGUUGACAAGUUGAAAAAUUCAAUCCUUAGUCGGUUUACAACUCCCAAGAUAGUCUUAAAUCAAGUGCAAAUUACUACCUUGUUGACGUUGCUGGGAAGAAAGUUCUCAACGGAACUUGCACAAUUCUAGAGGAGGAUUUAAGCGAUAAAGAUGAAAUUUUACUUGUUGAACGAAAUAUCCAACCGAAGAAAGUGUUACCAGAAGAUGAGAGAGGUCCCACAUUGGAGGAAAUCGAAAAGGCCACGAAACAUCUAGUUCCACAAAAUACCAAUGGUCCUGUCCCGAAGCCUCACCGACCAUCAGAUACUCAAAACGAUAUUCAGAGAAUGUUCGUUUCCCUGGCUGAAACAUCAUCGCGGAUCUUGUCAGCAAACCCGGAUGCCGAUGAAAUUUACGAGGUGAUAGUAUCAAAACUUGACUUGCAUUCCAAAAUGCUCCUGACCCUCAAAUUGUCAAACAGCUGGAGGAAAUGGGAUUUCCUAAGAAGCAAGUCAUUGCUGCUCUCGCUUUGAAAAAGCAAAAUGCAACAGAAGCGCUCGAAUGUUUGUUAGAUGGGUCAUUAGAAACUCUCGAAGCCUCAGACACAAGCAUUCCAAACAGUAUAGAUUUGGACCCUUCAGAAAAUGCCAAUGCAAGUCUAGCAGAAAAAAUUAGCCACCUUUUAAAAAUCUGUAUCACAGUUAAUGCAAAACGCAACAAUAAUGAUCCUGGAAACGAUAAAAUGCUACAGUUCCUCGUCGAUUCAGGCCUCGCACGGAGCAGUUCCCCAGAAUUGCUGAGCAAGACUGACAGUGACCAAUCUGAGUUUACUGAGGUUUCUUCCGACGGAAGCAAACUGGAGGAAGGAAUCAGCCUGGGAGCAGGAAGCAGCCAACAGAUGGGGCUGGAUCGCAACGAUCCUGUCUACAGAGCACUUCACACAAAUCCUGCAAUUAUCCUCGGUCUUAAUAAUCCUAAAACUCUUCUAGGUGCGCUGGUUUUUAUAUUUUAGUCUCCCCCAAAUUUCAGUUUAUAAACUCGAAACAUGCAUCUUUUUAUUUUCGUUCAUCAAGGUUCUACAAAGAACAGGGUGUCUAGGUUUUUUUCAUUUUGGGAAAUCCGAUUUUUGCCUGCUAAUUCGUAAUUUCAUAAUUUUUCCAAAUCCUGAUUUCUUGUAAAGAAAAAUUAAAAUUUCUGCAUAAGCGUAUGCAAAAGCAUAAAAAAUCUGAUCGGACAGCCGACUCUUCUCAAAUCCUGAUUUUACGACCGAUUUUUCCUCAAAUCCUGAUGAAAUUAGGAUUAAGUCCUGAUUGACCCCAAAUCCUGAUAGAAUCGGGAAAAUUCUGAUGCUAGACACCCUGAAACAAUCAUUAUUUAAACUCUUAUCUACAAGAAAGUACAUAAAAUCGUGGAAACUGCUAUGUAAUAAUUCAUGCUAUCCCAUGAGUUGAUAUCUGAAAUUCCUGUUGUGUGGAUCAUUUCCCAAGUAAGAUAUGGAGGGGUAAGCAUCUAACUUCAUGUACCUUAACUUCAAAUCUACACACGUCACUCAAUACUGAUAAGUGGUAGAAUAUUAUUCGUUUUUAGAUAAUUCCCUAUGAUUUCUAUAGUUUUAACCAGUAACACAAACAGGUUUGCCACAGCGAGGAAAUGCCAGGGAAUUUUAAACAUUUAGCGAAAAUGACAAAAGAUCUGAAAAAAUUGUUGAGUUGCCCUU